CGGAGGCCUGAAGCCACAUGGGCUGGGGGUUUGGUGAGGCACAGCCUGAGGUUCUCACUUGGUCGUCCCAGGCAGAGCACAACAGAGGAGCAGGGCUGGGGAGGAUAGGACAGGGCCCAAGGUGGACGGCGGCUCCGUGGUGAGGCAGAAGCCAUCAGGAGCCAGCCUGUGGGGAAAAUGAGGCCAGCAAGCUCCAAGGGACUCAGGCAGACCUGUCUGCAGGUGCUAAGGAUUCUGGAACAGUCGGGACAUAGGGGAAAGGUGGGGA